GAUGAACGCUGGCGGCGUGCCUAAUACAUGCCAGUCGAGCGAACAGACGAGGAGCUUGCUCCUCUGACGUUAGCGGCGGACGGGUGAGUAACACGUGGAUAACCUACCUAUAAGACUGGGAUAACUUCGGGAAACCGGAGCUAAUACCGGAUAAUAUAUUGAACCGCAUGGUUCAAUAGUGAAAGACGGUUUUGUUGUCACUUAUAGAUGGAUCCGCGCCGCAUUAGCUAGUUGGUAAGGUAACGGCUUACCAAGGCAACGAUGCGUAGCCGACCUGAGAGGGUGAUCGGCCACACUGGAACUGAGACACGGUCCAGACUCCUACGGGAGGCAGCAGUAGGGAAUCUUCCGCAAUGGGCGAAAGCCUGACGGAGCAACGCCGCGUGAGUGAUGAAGGUCUUCGGAUCGUAAAACUCUGUUAUUAGGGAAGAACAAAUGUGUAAGUAACUAUGCACGUCUUGACGGUACCUAAUCAGAAAGCCACGGCUAACUACGUG
rnacentral:rRNA from 1 species